rnacentral:rRNA from 1 species
UACGGAGGAUGCGAGCGUUAUCCGGAUUUAUUGGGUUUAAAGGGUGCGUAGGCGGGCUGUUAAGUCAGCGGUCAAAUGUCGGGGCUCAACCCCGGCCUGCCGUUGAAACUGGCGGCCUCGAGUGGGCGAGAGGUAUGCGGAAUGCGUGGUGUAGCGGUGAAAUGCAUAGAUAUCACGCAGAACUCCGAUUGCGAAGGCAGCAUACCGGCGCCCUACUGACGCUGAGGCACGAAAGCGUGGGUAUCGAACAGG